GAAAGUAAGCAAGGGCAGACGGUGGAUGCCUUGGCUCUCGGAGGCGACGAAGGACGUGAUAAGCUGCGAAAAGCCCGGGGGAGGCGCAAAUAGCCCUUGAUCCCGGGAUAUCCGAAUGGGGCAACCCGGCAGGCUGAAGGCCUGUCAUCCCGUAAGGGAGGCGAACGUGGGGAACUGAAACAUCUAAGUACCCAUAGGAGGAGAAAAUAAACAAUGAUUCCGUAAGUAGUGGCGAGCGAACACGGAAGAGCCCAAACCCAUGUCGUCUAGGCGACACGGGGGUUGUAGGACCACGACGUGGCAAGAGGAUGGCAAGUGGAACGCCUUGGAAAGGGCGACCGUAGAGGGUGAUAGUCCCGUACACGACUGCCUGCCGAAGCCUAGUGGCAUCCUGAGUAGCGCGGGGCACGAGAAAUCUUGCGUGAAACAGCGGGGCCCAUCCCGUAAGGCUAAAUACUCCCGAGAGACCGAUAGCGAACCAGUACCGUGAGGGAAAGGUGAAAAGAACCCCGAGCAGGGGAGUGAAAUAGACCCUGAACCCGUCUGCCUACAAGCGGUCGGAGCAUAGCAAUAUGUGACGGCGUGCCUUUUGCAUAAUGAACCUACGAGUUACCUUCCCCGGCAAGGUUAAGUACCUAAGGUACGGAGCCGAAGCGAAAGCGAGUCUGAAGAGGGCGGCCAGUCGGGGGGGGUAGACGCGAAACCGAGUGAUCUACCCUUGGCCAGGUUGAAGGUUGGGUAACACCAACUGGAGGACCGGAUGGGUAAGCGUUGAAAAGCUUUCCAAUGAGCUGAGGGUAGGGGUGAAAGGCUAAUCAAACUCGGAGAUAGCUCGUACUCCCCGAAAUGCAUUUAGGUGCAGCCUCUUUAUAGUAUAUCGUGAGGUAGAGCGACUGAUUGGAUGCGAGGGCUUCACCGCCUAUCAAGUCCAGAUAAACUCCGAAUGCGCGAUAUAUAUUUACAGGGAGUGAGGGCGCGGGUGCUAAGGUCCGUGUCCGAGAGGAGAAGAAUCCAGACCACCGGCUAAGGCCCCCAAAUGAUCGUUGAGUUGAACUAACGAGGUCGGAUCGCAGAGACAGCUAGGAUGUUGGCUUGGAAGCAGCCAUUCAUUUAAAGAGUGCGUAACAGCUCACUAGUCGAGCGAUCUGGCGUGGAUAAUAAUCGGGCAUAAACGAUCUGCCGAAGCCGUGGAUGUCGUAAGACAUGGUAGGGGAGCAUUCCAUGCGGCGUCGAAGAUGAGGGAUGACCCUUGUUGGAGCGCAUGGAAAAGCAAAUGUAGGUAUGAGUAACGAUAAGGGGGGCGAGAAACCCCCCCGCCGAAAGACCAAGGUUUCCUGAUCAACGCUAAUCGGAUCAGGGUGAGUCGGGACCUAAGGCUAAGCCGAACGGCGACGCCGAUGGAAGAAUGGGUUAAUAUUCCCAUACUGCCUCAUGGAGUGACGUGGAGACGGAGAAGUGACAGUCCUGCCGGCUGACGGAAUAGCCGGUUGAAGGGUGUAGAUAUUGAUUCCCGUAGGCAAAUCCGCGGGGAGAGUCGAACCUGACAGUAUACCGAGUACUUGUACGAGGUAAUAUGGACGUAACCAUGCUCCCAAGAAAAUCCGCUAAACUUAUCCAUGCGGCACCCGUACCGUAAACGGACACACGUGGUCGGGUUGAGAAUACUGAGGCGCUCGAGUGACUCACGGUUAAGGAACUAGGCAAAUUGACCCUGUAACUUCGGGAUAAAGGGUCCUCGUCGUAAGGCGAGGCGCAGAGAAUAGGUCCAGGCAACUGUUUAACAAAAACACAUGGCUAUGCUAAAUGGAAACAUGACGUAUAUAGCCUGACACCUGCCCGGUGCUGGAAGGUUAAGAGGAGAUGUCAUCGCAAGAGAAGCGUUGAAUUGAAGCCCCAGUAAACGGCGGCCGUAACUAUAACGGUCCUAAGGUAGCGAAAUUCCUUGUC
rnacentral:rRNA from 1 species